CCUUAGGUCAGCGGCGGACGGGUGAGUAACACGUGGUAACCUGCCUGUAAGACUGGGAUAACUCCGGGAAACCGGGGCUAAUACCGGAUGCUUGAUUGAGCCGCAUGGUUCAAUUAUAAAAGGUGGCUUUCAGCUACCACUUACAGAUGGACCCGCGGCGCAUUAGCUAGUUGGUGAGGUAACGGCUCACCAAGGCGACGAUGCGUAGCCGACCUGAGAGGGUGAUCGGCCACACUGGGACUGAGACACGGCCCAGACUCCUACGGGAGGCAGCAGUAGGGAAUCUUCCGCAAUGGACGAAAGUCUGACGGAGCAACGCCGCGUGAGUGAUGAAGGUUUUCGGAUCGUAAAACUCUGUUGUUAGGGAAGAACAAGUACCGUUCGAAUAGGGCGGCACCUUGACGGUACCUAACCAGAAAGCCACGGCUAACUACGUGCCAGCAGCCGCGGUAAUACGUAGGUGGCAAGCGUUGUCCGGAAUUAUUGGGCGUAAAGCGCGCGCAGGCGGUUUCUUAAGUCUGAUGUGAAAGCCCCCGGCUCAACCGGGGAGGGUCAUUGGAAACUGGGGAACUUGAGUGCAGAAGAGGAGAGUGGAUUCCACGUGUAGCGGUGAAAUGCGUAGAGAUGUGGAGGAACACCAGUGGCGAAGGCGACUCUCUGGUCUGU
rnacentral:rRNA from 1 species